UUGUUAUUUUAAGUCAACCAUGUCUGGGGGGUUGUGGGGUUUUUACAAAAAGCAUCUUGACUUCCUGGUUUGCCUGCCAAAGUCUGCUCAGGCCCCCUCGGCAGGGGUCUCGGGGAGGGACCACAGGGUUGAGACCCAGGAGCACACGGUCACCCCGUUUUCUGACUCAAGCUGUAACCGUCAUCUGGGCACAAACCUGGCAUGAGAGCUGGCCUCCCAACACCGCCCUCUCCAUCCCCGGGGGACCCAGGGACAGAAGGUGAGGAGUCAGAGCCUGCCGGGAAAGAGGUGAUAAGACAAACGCCGUCCCCGGCCACCACGAGAGCUUUUCCAGGAAGGAAGGGACAGAACAGACUCUUGGCUGGGGAAGCUUCCUCUCUCUCGGUGUGGAAAUGGAGCGGCGCUCAUGGGUUUGGGGGCUUCCUGGGGAGCUGUUGGCAUUCCAUGUCCCAGAGAGCAGAGCAUCAUCGUUAGACCAGACCCUCCAGAGCUGCAGGAGGGUUACCCGCUCCCGAGAGCUUCAGACUCCAGCUUCCGUGCCUGCUGACGUGAUCUAUGGAGGCCAAGCAGCCCUUUUGCAGCCAUGAGGAUGGAAACCGCAUGGAAGAACGGGAAGAUGAAAAAGCUGAGGUCCCUGGAGGCAUCGCUUGCCCGACACGGAGCUUAUCAUUCGUUCAAGUCAAAUAAAACCCUCCCUGUUCAAGUCAUUGGAGUAUGGCUUUCUGGUAUCUAUAGUCACAGGCGAUCCCGCCAUCCUUUGUCGACGAGGGUCAGGGAAUAAAAGUGAAAUGUCCUCAGCCCGGGCUACCGCGUGCGCCAUAGCCUCACCAAGCCCAUCCAGGCGGGAGCAGAAGCUCAGCACCGCUGGAGUGGAAUGGAUGGAGAGAGAGGUGCUGAGUGAAAAAUCCCCAAAGCAAACAAAGAACCUGUCAAUCAAAGUUUUGUAAAUCAGACUGGCAAAGCGGCUCAGGGUGGGCAGCCCCGAGAGGGAGAGGCAUCGCCAACACAGACCAGGGACAGUCACACCAAGCUGCCACCCCCUGGGUCUACUGCACACGGAGACGCCCACAGCACCUCUGUCCCUCUCCGUGCAGGGCUGUGACGCUCCGGCUCACCUGGGCAAACACAGUCACUCCCAGGCCAGGUGGCUGCCCAAAGCGGCCUUUGCCCGUCCCUCAGGUCCCUGGGCUCUCUCCAGCAGACGGCAGCGAACACCUCAACGAGGGUUUGAUCAAUGGAGGCCGCCACGCUAUUGACAGAGUCCUGCGGUUUCUGCAAAUCGCCCGGCGCCCAGAGAUCCCCGAGAUUAAUCUUCACAAAUACGGGGCAGAGGGGGAGGAAGAAGCCAAGUCGAUUUAGUUUCCGAUGAUUACUUUCCCCAGAAAGCACUGAAGAGUCAGAAGUUUAACUGAUGUACGUUGGACAGGGAGACAAAUCCAGAAAUAUCACCCCAUUACCCGGCCGCUUCCAGGAGGCAUUUUUCACGACAGCAGGUGGGCUGGCCCUGUCCAAGUCGGGAAGGAGACAAGACACCGCCACAGGACAUCGACGCGUCCCAGGGCCCAAGCGCCAAGCAACUCAGGGCCAAGAAUGGGUCCUGAGCCUUCGGCGUGCCCUUGAGGACACACACGUCCACCAAUUUCCCAUUUUUAUUUCACGCUGCCUAGAUCUUUGGAAAUUAUACUGACUGUUCCUUCUUGGAAUAAGGUGGAUUUGUAUUUUUUUUUUUAAAUACAAAGAAGUAAUUGGCUGGGCACAGAGGCUUAGGCCUGUAAUUCCAGCAGCUGAGAGGCUGAGGCAGGAGGAUCACAGGUCUGACGUGACGCCAGUUUUAACUUCUUGGCUGACAUCCAACGUCACGACCAGAGAACUCGAGGCGACGUCCCUCUCUGUGCGUUAUGGGGUCAGGGCCAGCUCUCUGGUGUGCCUCGGGAGCGGUCACACGUGCCCCCCCCCUCACCUGGGGGACCCCGUUCUGCUGUUGGUGUCUUGAAGUCCCUGGCAUCCUCCCCGGGCACCGGACCCUCAGGUCACCCAGCCAGCCUGCCCCGGGCGCUUGAGGAAAGGCAGGGUCCCGGGUCACCCCUGCUUUGCCGCGGUUCAGCCCGACAGGCCGUCGGAGGGGAGUUUCCUUUCUACAACCAGAGGAAGAGCCGCGUCUGGUUUUAACUGCAGAAAACUUUGCACAGCCGGGACCCAGGAGCGGUAGGAACGGAACCCAGGCUGGGGGGGAUCAAGGGACAACGUGGAAAGGGAUAUGAAAAUAUUUCAACUGUCCCUUCUGUCCAUUUUUUCACUUCAAGGGUAGCCAGUUCUUAAAAGGAGUGAAAAAGAACAAUUUCUUGGUAAAACUAAAAAAAAAAAAAAAAUCGCAUUUCUGAGCCUCGAUUUGCUGAGCAUGGGGGCUGGGAGUGGCCUGGGACUGUCCCUGGGGUCAGAGACAGAACUGAGUUCUUCCCAGGAGCUGGCUCCGGGCGAUGACCCUCCAGGCGGCUCCAACGUCACACGGGGGGGACGCGCAGCCAUAGAGCAGAGCAGGAACGCAUCCCGAGCCCUUGGCCGGGAGAGUCCCCAGAUCCACCUGGCAAGCGACAAGAUGAAGUGUGGAGGAUUCGGCAGAAUCGCAGAAGCCAGGCGAACGUCUCCAAGGGGACCCCGUCGGAUGCCGCAAAUAAGAUGCGGGAUUUUUUUUUUUCCAGAGGAAAAAUAUCAAAAAUAGUUUCUUUUUCUUUUUUCAAAACUUCAUGGAGGAGGAUUUCCUUGCUCUGCUGGAGCCUGAGAAAUAUGGAGAGGAGCAGAUUUGGAAGCCGGAACUGGAGAGAAGUAACCUGCAUGAUAAAAAGGAAAAGGGAGGCGGGCGGGGUGGGGGCAGAGUAGAAGGUUCCGGAAGCCGACGUGAGCCAGAGGAAUUCUCUCCACAGACGGCGUGCUCCAGGGGAGUCACCCGGGCUCCGGGGCCGGGAGGCGAUUCCCCGUAAGCAUCGGGGACAGACAGGGUCCUGCGCUGGGCUCCUGGGGGGAAGCAGGGCGCUGGAGCCGGCAGCCCAUGGGACCCCAGGAGACCCCUCCCCACGUUAGAGCAGGCUUUGCCUAGAUCUCCGAGGGUCAGGAUCCCAUCUGGCCUGGGUCCUUCUACUUUGUUAUAAAACGUCCGACAGUGACAUGGGACCGUGGGGUCAGAGGGUCAGGGCUCCUCGGAGGUCCACACACACCGCGUUGAGUACCUCCUGUGAGCCAGGCGCUGCGUCCACUCGAGACUCUUCAGUCAUCCGUGAGUCCCUUCCUCAGGGACAGUGUGACCACAGAGUACUCAGGUAACCCCAAAACCACCACUAGGGGUUCAGGCUCCAUUUCCCAAUUUAACUGUCCUCCUCGACAGUCGUGAUCGCCAGAAUUAACUCAAGAAAAGCCAGGCCUUUCCGCCCCACCUGGUCUUCCAACAUGGACGUGGCGUGGACAGUCGAUCAGGGAGGGUGAACUUGGGUGGCCGCUGGCCCUGGGGCCUCUUUUGGAAGGACACUAAUCCCAUCAGGAGGGCCUAAUCGGUUCCUGAAGUCCUCCUCUCCUAGCACCAUCGCGUUGGGGGUUCAGGGUCCCCCACGUGGGGGACACAUUCUGUCACAGCGAGCACUCAUCAAGCGGCUGACCCACGUCUGUGAGCUCCUGGAGGCUGCGAGCAGCGGAGCCGUGAAGCUCAAGGUCCGUGGGGCCUGAGCGCCGGCUACAGGAGACCCCAGGAAGGGGUCCGCGCCCUCCUUCCGUCUGCACCGGCCACCUGAUGAGAGGAGCGGGGAGCCACUCUGCCGCGGGGCUGGACACACAGGGGCUCAUCGCCACCAACACGUCACACGGGGACUCUAAUCACCUGCUCCUUAAACGGUCAAGGAACAGAACACGAGGAGGCAGGACCACAGGGCUCUGGGGUGGAGGCCACCCGUGAGGAACCGUCCCCUCAAAAGCACCUCACAAGGGGACCCUAAGAUGCCACAUGAGGGCAGAACCAGCAUCCCACGUCCCCAGCCCAGGACCUGACCCCAGGCUGACCCAAUACGACCUCGGGGACACCUUGUGAAAGCCCCUGGGUCCACGGCCACUCUCAGGAGGCCACGCUCGGAGGUUUGUGACCCCGUCUGUCACCAUGGCCACCAGCCGCUGCCACGCUCCGUCCCCGACUCUGCUUCCUCCUCUGUCCCCCAGUGCCCUUCUUCCAAGGGGUCACUAGGAGCCGAAGUAAUUGGCUUCAGAAGGUAAAUCCACCGCGACUCGUGAAUUCUGAAACUCGGCUUGAGACACGGUCAGUAAACCUGCCAAGAAACCAAAGCAGGAAGAGCCGGGAAUGUUGGAGUCCCUUCAAUCCCACGACCAAGACGUCAGAGGACACUCCACGGGGAGGACGCACUCAGGGCCACCUCCCUUCCUGCCCCAGCACCUGUGUCACCUGCCACGUCACCUGCCACGUCCCCUGCGUCCCUUCUCGGCCAAACCCACUCCCACCUAAAUCUUUGGAAAGAGAAAGGAAAGGGGGUGUUUAAACCAAGGUGACCCAUGCCCAGGACCCACGUCCCCUCCUCACCCUCCCUCUGUCCACAUGCCCCACGUUGACCUUCUCCUCUCUCCCACACGCCGCGCGACUGGGCCACCGAGUUCCGAGUUCAGUCUUCUAUCGGGGGUUCUUUGAUUUGCCCAAGCCGACGUGAAGGUCCCCCCACCCCCCGUUUCUAUGACAACCUCUCGGCGCGUUCAGUCUUCACAGAGAAGAGUUAUUGCUUUUAUGUGCUCAGACCCUAAGACAACAGGGAAAUUAACAUAAUGUGGUCCUACCAGGAAAAAAAAAUAAUCAAACCAUCAAAACCCUCAUAUCCUCCCCAGGACUUCACAGAUCGCUUCCAGUGAAAAGGGACCAAGGAGAAAUGAGGCCCUGGCGUCUGACAACGCUGUUAACAUUAGAGAUUUCAUUUCAGAUGCAUUUAGAUGAAGCCAGACCAUAAUGGGGCUCAAAAAAAAAAAACAGAAG